rnacentral:tRNA from 1 species
GGGCCGAUAGCUUAAUGGAAGAGCACCGCAUUUGCACUGCGGAGGUUAGGGGUUCGAGCCCCCUUCGGUCCA